GCAUAUCAAUAAGCGGAGGAAAAGAAACCAACAGGGAUUGCCCUAGUAACGGCGAGUGAAGCGGCAACAGCUCAAAUUUGAAAUCUGGCGUCUUCGGCGUCCGAGUUGUAAUUUGCAGAGGGCGCUUUGGCAUUGGCAGCGGUCCAAGUUCCUUGGAACAGGACGUCACAGAGGGUGAGAAUCCCGUACGUGGUCGCUAGCCUUUACCGUGUAAAGCCCCUUCGACGAGUCGAGUUGUUUGGGAAUGCAGCUCUAAAUGGGAGGUAAAUUUCUUCUAAAGCUAAAUACUGGCCAGAGACCGAUAGCGCACAAGUAGAGUGAUCGAAAGAUGAAAAGCACUUUGGAAAGAGAGUUAAAAAGCACGUGAAAUUGUUGAAAGGGAAGCGCUUGCAGCCAGACUUGCCUGUAGUUGCUCAUCCGGGUUUUUACCCGGUGCACUCUUCUAUAGGCAGGCCAGCAUCAGUUUGGGCGGUUGGAUAAAGGUCUCUGUCAUGUACCUCUCUUCGGGGAGAACUUAUAGGGGAGACGACAUGCAACCAGCCUGGACUGAGGUCCGCGC
rnacentral:rRNA from 1 species